rnacentral:rRNA from 1 species
AAAAGCUAGCUUAAUAACCAAAUAAUUUAAUAACAUAAAUAAAAUAUAAAACCAACUACAUAAACUAAACCAUUUUUUUACCUUACUAUGGGAAACAGAAAAGGUAUUUACAAAGCAAUAGAGAUAGUACCGCACGGGAAAGCUGAAAGAGAAAUGAAAUAACCCAUAUAAGUGCUAAAAAGCAAAGACAA